AAUUUGCAGAUCUCACUUAGACUUGUCAGCAAAACUCUAAACACAUUCUCAAAACACAUUCUGCACUCUAAUGCACAUGUCAUCCAUACUGGUAAGCACAAGUGACAACAUUCAAAUACAAAUAGAGAACACAUGUCAUUGAUUGAACACAACCACUCAAAAUUGAUUUCACUUGUUUCAAAUGAUGUUACACAACCAAUAUAAGCCAGUUCAGAGGGCAAACAGGUUGUUGAAGGUUCAUAUCAACAAAGAACAAGAAUUAAAGUAUCACAGAGACAAAGGACAAGUUUGUGAGAUGCAGGGUACAGUACUGUAAAAAUAGGGGUACAAGGAGGAGGAAGAACAA